rnacentral:rRNA from 1 species
AGAGUUUGAUCAUGGCUCAGAACGUACGCUGGCGGCACGCCUAAUACAUGCAAGUCGAACGGAGUAGCAAUACUUAGUGGCAGACGGGUGAGUAACAUGUAGGUAUCUGCCCUUUGGCCUGGAAUAACACGAGGAAACUUGUGCUAAUACCGGAUAAGUCUUUACGGAGAAAGCUUUAUGCACCAUUGGAUGAGCCUGCACUUGAUUAGUUUGUUGGUAGGGUAAUGGCCUACCAAGGCUUUGAUCAAUAGCUGAUUUGAGAGGAUGAUCAGCCACAUUGGGACUGAGACACGGCCCAAACUCCUACGGGAGGCAGCAGUGGGGAAUCUUGCACAAUGGAGGAAACUCUGAUGCAGCGAUGCCGCGUGAGUGAAGAAGGCCUUUGGGUUGUAAAGCUCUUUCGUCGGGGAAGAAAAUGACUGUACCCGAAUAAGAAGGUCCGGCUAACUUCGUGCCAGCAGCCGCGGUAAUACGAAGGGACCUAGCGUAGUUCGGAAUUACUGGGCUUAAAGAGUUCGUAGGUUGUUGAAAAAGUUGGUGGUGAAAUCCCAGAGCUUAACUCUGGAACUGCCAUCAAAACUUUUCAGCUAGAGUUUGAUAGAGGAAAGCAGAAUUUCUAGUGUAGAGGUGAAAUUCGUAGAUAUUAGAAAGAAUACCAAUUGCGAAGGCAGCUUUCUGGAUCAUUACUGACACUGAGGAACGAAAGCAUGGGUAGCGAAGAGGAUUAGAUACCCUCGUAGUCCAUGCCGUAAACGAUGUGUGUUAGACGUUGGAAAUUUAUUUUCAGUGUCGCAGCGAAAGCGAUAAACACACCGCCUGGGGAGUACGACCGCAAGGUUAAAACUCAAAUGAAUUGACGGGGACCCGCACAAGUAGUGCAGCA